GUUGGGUAGGGGAGCGUUCUGUAAGCCUGUGAAGGUGUGCUGUGAGGCAUGCUGGAGGUAUCAGAAGUGCGAAUGCUGACAUAAGUAACGAUAAUGCGGGUGAAAAACCCGCACGCCGGAAGACCAAGGGUUCCUGUCCAACGUUAAUCGGGGCAGGGUGAGUCGACCCCUAAGGCGAGGCAGAAAUGCGUAGUCGAUGGGAAACGGGUUAAUAUUCCCGUACUGGUGAUAAUUGCGAUGGGGGGACGGAGAAGGCUAGGCUAUCCGGGCGACGGUUGUCCCGGUUUAAGGAUGUAGGCAGGUGAAUUAGGCAAAUCCGGUUCACUAUAUGCUGAGGUCCGACGACGAGUCACUACGGUGAUGAAGUAGCUCAUGCCCCGCUUCCAGGAAAAGCCUCUAAGCUCUAGAUUAUCAUUAAUCGUACCCCAAACCGACACAGGUGGUCAGGUAGAGAAUACUCAGGCGCUUGAGAGAACUCGGGUGAAGGAACUAGGCAAAAUGGUGCCGUAACUUCGGGAGAAGGCACGCUGGCAUUAGGUGAAGUGGUUUACCCAUGGAGCUGAAGCCAGUCGCAGAUACCAGCUGGCUGCAACUGUUUAUUAAAAACACAGCACUGUGCAAACACGAAAGUGGACGUAUACGGUGUGACGCCUGCCCGGUGCUGGAAGGUUAAUUGAUGGGGUUAUCCGUAAGGAGAAGCUCUUGAUCGAAGCCCCAGUAAACGGCGGCCGUAACUAUAACGGUCCUAAGGUAGCGAAAUUCCUUGUCGGGUAAGUUCCGACCUGCACGAAUGGCGUAAUGAUGGCCAGGCUGUCUCCACCCGAGACUCAGUGAAAUUGAACUCGCUGUGAAGAUGCAGUGUACCCGCGGCAAGACGGAAAGACCCCGUGAACCUUUACUAUAGCUUGACACUGAACAUUGAGCCUUGAUGUGUAGGAUAGGUGGGAGGCUUUGAAGUGUGGACGCCAGUCUGCAUGGAGCCAACCUUGAAAUACCACCCUUUAAUGUUUGAUGUUCUAACGUUGCCCCGUUAUCCGGGGUGCGGACAGUGUCUGGUGGGUAGUUUGACUGGGGCGGUCUCCUCCCAAAGAGUAACGGAGGAGCACGAAGGUUGGCUAAGCAUGGUCGGACAUCAUGCGGUUAGUGCAAAGGCAUAAGCCAGCUUGACUGCGAGAGUGACGGCUCGAGCAGGUACGAAAGUAGGUCUUAGUGAUCCGGUGGUUCUGAAUGGAAGGGCCAUCGCUCAACGGAUAAAAGGUACUCCGGGGAUAACAGGCUGAUACCGCCCAAGAGUUCAUAUCGACGGCGGUGUUUGGCACCUCGAUGUCGGCUCAUCACAUCCUGGGGCUGAAGUAGGUCCCAAGGGUACGGCUGUUCGCCGUUUAAAGUGGUACGCGAGCUGGGUUUAGAACGUCGUGAGACAGUUCGGUCCCUAUCUGCCGUGGGCGUUGGAAGAUUGAAAGGGGCUGCUCCUAGUACGAGAGGACCGGAGUGGACGCACCACUGGUGUUCGGGUUGUCAUGCCAAUGGCAUUGCCCGGUAGCUAAGUGCGGAAGAGAUAACCGCUGAAAGCAUCUAAGCGGGAAACUUGCCUUGAGAUGAGUCUUCCCUGACUCUUUAAGAGUCCUAAAGGAACGUUUAAGACUAAGACGUUGAUAGGUUGGGUGUGUAAGCGUAGCGAUACGUUGAGCUAACCAAUACUAAUGAACCGUGAGGCUUAACCUGACAACACCGAAGGUGUUUUAG
rnacentral:rRNA from 1 species